rnacentral:rRNA from 1 species
AACGUAGGUUCCGAGCGUUAUUCGGAUUUACUGGGCGUAAAGCGUGUUUAGGCGGUUCGGUAAGUCUGGCAUGAAAUCUCUCGGCUCAACCGGGAGAGGUUGUCCGAUACUGCUGGACUUGAGGGCAGUAGAGGGUGGUGGAAUUCCGGGUGUAGUGGUGAAAUGCGUAGAUAUCCGGAGGAACACCAGUGGCGAAAGCGGCCACCUGGACUGUACCUGACGCUCAAACGCGAAAGCUAGGGGAGCGAACGGG